GAUCUACUUACACCUCGAGCAUAGGCAGACCUGGAAACGGUUGGCACAUAUGUUGGGUUCUCCCCCAGAAGAAGUAAAGUCCAAAGAAACUGCCAAGGGAAAAACACAUGGUUGGUAUUGGACAUAUCUCCAGAAAUGUUUAGAUCGAUGCCUCCAAGAAAAACAGUGGGACCGGGCUUCAGUAGCUCUCGCUUUGGGAAUCUACGGUCUGAUUCUGUUCCCGGGGCCAUUGGGGAUC
rnacentral:misc_RNA from 1 species